UACGAAGGGUGCAAACGUUGCUCGGAAUCAUUGGGCGUAAAGCGCACGUAGGCGGCCUGUUAAGUCGGAUGUGAAAUCCCUCGGCUCAACCGAGGACGUGCAUACGAAACUGGCAGGCUCGAGUAUGGAAGAGGGUCGCGGAAUUCCCGGUGUAGAGGUGAAAUGCGCAGAUAUCAGGAGGAACACCGGUGGCGAAGGCGGGUCUCUGGGCCGAUACUGACGCUGAGGAGCGAAAGCGUGGGGAGCGAACAGG
rnacentral:rRNA from 1 species